rnacentral:rRNA from 1 species
GUUACUAACGACGAUAUGCUUUGGGGAGCUGUAAGUAAGCUUUGAUCCAGAGAUUUCCGAAUGGGGAAACCCAGCAUGAGUUAUGUCAUGUUAUCGAUAUGUGAAUACAUAGCAUAUCAGAAGGCACACCCGGAGAACUGAAACAUCUUAGUACCCGGAGGAAGAGAAAGAAAAUUCGAUUCCCUUAGUAGCGGCGAGCGAAACGGGAAGAGCCCAAACCAACAAGCUUGCUUGUUGGGGUUGUAGGACACUCUAUACGGAGUUACAAAGGACGACAUUAGACGAAUCAUCUGGAAAGAUGAAUCAAAGAAGGUAAUAAUCCUGUAGUCGAAAAUGUUGUCUCUCUUGAGUGGAUCCUGAGUACGACGGAGCACGUGAAAUUCCGUCGGAAUCUGGGAGGACCAUCUCCUAAGGCUAAAUACUCUCUAGUGACCGAUAGUGAACCAGUACCGUGAGGGAAAGGUGAAAAGCACCCCGGAAGGGGAGUGAAAUAGAACCUGAAACCGUGUGCUUACAAGUAGUCAGAGCCCGUUAAUGGGUGAUGGCGUGCCUUUUGUAGAAUGAACCGGCGAGUUACGAUUUGAUGCAAGGUUAAGCAGUAAAUGUGGAGCCGUAGCGAAAGCGAGUCUGAAUAGGGCGUUUAGUAUUUGGUCGUAGACCCGAAACCAGGUGAUCUACCCUUGGUCAGGUUGAAGUUCAGGUAACACUGAAUGGAGGACCGAACCGACUUACGUUGAAAAGUGAGCGGAUGAACUGAGGGUAGCGGAGAAAUUCCAAUCGAACCUGGAGAUAGCUGGUUCUCUCCGAAAUAGCUUUAGGGCUAGCCUCAAGUGAUGAUUAUUGGAGGUAGAGCACUGUUUGGACGAGGGGCCCCUCUCGGGUUACCGAAUUCAGACAAACUCCGAAUGCCAAUUAAUUUAACUUGGGAGUC